UACGAAGGGGGCUAGCGUUGCUCGGAAUUACUGGGCGUAAAGGGCGCGUAGGCGGAUAUUUAAGUUAGAGGUGAAAGCCCAGGGCUCAACCCUGGAACAGCCUUUAAUACUGGAAGAUCUUGAGUUCGGGAGAGGUGAGUGGAACUCGAGUGUAGAGGUGAAAAUUCGUAGAUAUUCGAGAAGAACACCAGUGGCGAAGGCGGCUCACUGGCCCGGUACUGACGCUGGAGGCACGAAAGCGUGGGGAGCAAACAGG
rnacentral:rRNA from 1 species